rnacentral:misc_RNA from 1 species
GAAUCCAGUCACCCUCGCCCUCUCCCUGGGCGUCGGCCUCGCCGUCCGCUUCCUCGUCCCCAAGCCCCCGGAUGUCACUCUCCAAGCCUGGCAGCUCCUCUCGAUCUUCCUCUCCACCAUCGCCGGGCUCGUGCUCAGCCCGCUCCCAGUCGGCGCCUGGGCGUUCCUCGGCCUCACCGCGACUGUCCUCACUCGGACGCUAACCUUUUCAGCAGCAUUCGGGGCGUUUACCAACGAGGUGAUCUGGUUGAUCGUGAUCUCGUUUUUCUUUGCCAGGGGGUUUGUGAAGACGGGGCUGGGUGAUCGGAUUGCGAAUUAUUUUGUCAAGUGGCUGGGGCGGAGUACAUUGGGGCUGUCGUAUGGACUUGCUAUUAGUGAGGCGGUAAUUGCGCCGGCAAUGCCGAGCACGACUGCUCGGGCCGGUGGUGUGUUUUUGCCGAUUAUUAAGUCGCUUUCGCUUUCGGGUGGUAGCCGGCCAGGCGAUCCCUCAGCUAAGAAGCUUGGAUCUUAUCUUGUCAUGUCGCAGUUCCAGUCAGCUGGUAACUCAAGUGCUCUCUUCCUAACUGCUGCUGCCCAGAACCUCUUGUGCCUUAAAUUAGCUGAGGAACUUGGGGUU